rnacentral:lncRNA from 1 species
CAAUCAGGCAGAGAAUUAUUAGAACAUUGACAGAUUAGUCUCAUCAGUUACCUGCUGUGACCACCAGCUUUCUGUAUAUUAAUAAGAAAAAAGGUAGCCUGCUGAUUGCCAUUAAAUUACACAAGGAUAUAUUUGUCUUUUGGAACUCCAAGGCAUUUAAAUGUGGUGUAAGAUCAAAAUUCAUUAAAGAAGGCGAAGAGAUG